rnacentral:rRNA from 1 species
GACGAACGCUGGCGGCGUGCUUAACACAUGCCAGUCGAACGGAAAGGCCCUGCUUUUGUGGGGUGCUCGAGUGGCGAACGGGUGAGUAACACGUGAGUAACCUGCCCUUGACUUUGGGAUAACUUCAGGAAACUGGGGCUAAUACCGGAUAGGAGCUCCUGCUGCAUGGUGGGGGUUGGAAAGUUUCGGCGGUUGGGGUUGGACUCGCGGCUUAUCAGCUUGUUGGUGGGGUAGUGGCUUACCAAGGCUUUGACGGGUAGCCGGCCUGAGAGGGUGACCGGACACAUUGGGACUGAGAUACGGCCCAGACUCCUACGGGAGGCAGCAGUGGGGAAGAGUGCACUAUGGGCGGAAGCCUGAUGCAGCAACGCCGCGUGCGGGAUGACGGCCUUCGGGUUGUAAACCGCUUUCGCCUGUGACGAAGCGUGAGUGACGGUAAUGGGUAAAGAAGCACCGGCUAACUACGUG